rnacentral:lncRNA from 1 species
GAAAAAGCAGAUUGAACUGUUUCUGGAAGGAAAGAGUGGGGACACCCUGCCUGAAGGCUGGCCUGUGAGGAGCAGACUGAGGAUGGGCCUGGUCCUCCUUUUCCUGGUGGAAAAUGCCAGACUCUGCUUGUCCGAAGGUGACUUGACCUCACUGUGCUCCAUCCUCUGCCCCAGCACCUGCUCUCCAGAUGUCCUACACCGUGAACUCCACCACAUCCUGGGCACAUCUGAGAGAUGGCAAGAGUACUUGGUCAACCUGUGCCAAACAUGCAUAGAUGCAAGAGUCGUCGACUGGCUGGGCAUCCUCCCUGUCCUGCACUACUGUAUGCAGCUGGCCCCUCCAAGAAAGGACUUUGUGAGCCAGCCUGAGGACAUCUGGGCUGGCCUCAACGGAAUCUCCUUGUUUCAGUUUGAGGAAAAUUGGCUAAAUGAGUAAGUUGUAAAGCUGCAUUUAUAUAAGCACAUCUUGGAAUA